AUGUUUAUUCUUUUUUUAAAUAAUGACUUUUAUUUUUUCCAUUAUAGCUGGUUUACAGUAUUAUGUCAAUUUUCUAUUGUACAGUAAGGUGACCCAGUCACACAUACAUGUAUACAUUCUUUUUUCUCACAUUAUCAUGCGCCAUCAUAAGUGACUAGACAUAGUUGCCAGUUAUACAGCAGGAUCUCAUUGCUUAUCCAUUCCAAAGGCAGUAGUUUUUAUUCUUAACCCAUCUCCGAUUUUCAUCAUAAUGGCCUGUUGCGUGGCCCAGAAGGUGAGCAGAGUCAGGAAGACUGUUUUGUUCUUGCCCUCGUGCUAUCUCGCUUUGAGCCUCUCACUCUGCCUCUUGGGAUGAUGUUUUCCUUAUGUGUCAAAUGGGAGCAUGCCAAUAGAUCACACUCAAGCUGGGUUUUUUCUCUAAAAUUGUAUGUCUAUUUUUAAAGGCGAGAGGGGCAGAACUGAAAUUUGAGAAAAACGGGAUUCUCAUCCAGACUCUGUCACCACCUACUUCUAUAACCAUAAAUAAGCCCUGGGUCUCAGUUUUCCCAAAAGGUAAAAGAAUAAUCACUACUAACUCUUACAUUUACUGUGUUUGAGGCACUAAUCUAAGCCUUUUACAUGUAUUUCUGCAUUUAAGUUCUUACAAUCCUGCAAGGUAGAUAUUACCAUCAUGAGAGGUUAAGAAACAUGCCCAAAGUCACACAGCUAGAAACAGAUGGAACUGGAUUUGAAUCCAGGUCAUCUGACCCCAGAGGCCAUUCACUUAGCUUGACAGUAGAACAUCUCUGAAAGAGCUGAAUUAGAUGAUCUCUAAGGACCUGGCUUGAACAUUCUAGAACAUCCUAUGGAUCUAUGAUCCAGGGUCAUCUGUACCUUUCUAUUUUGCCCCUGUGCUAGUCUGUCCACUACUCCCCUUACCACAUGCACCUCCAUACCAUCCAACCUUCGGCGUGUGGUUGUGAGGACUUUCUCUUUGGCUGGAAAAGACAAGACAGGCAUUCCGUUGCCCUGAGCUCCAUAGAUGCCCAAGGCUCUGGUGAGAAGUAUCUUAUUGACAUCCCUUGUGAACAGAAAACCGGCCCAGGCCAUCCCUAUGCCAAGGGAGCCUUGGCAAUGGAGACUGGCAAAGACAGAUGAAGCCAAUUAUUUCCCCUGACUUUAAAGGAAGUCACAUACUACAAAUGAAGACAAAGACCCAGCUCCUUUUUGGACAGCGCUCAUAGUCAGGGGAAAGAUCCAACUCCUAGAGGCUGGAGGGCAUGGCCUGUGCCAAGCCCUCCCCCCAGGCAAUGUGCAAUAGGUCCUCUAUCUGUCCCCUCGCCAAGGACUAGCCCUCCAGCUCUUGUUUCUUCCACCAAGAACCAGAAAGCCCUUCCCAGCCCUGCCAGUGUUUGGAAUCAUCCAAUUUCCUACUGGAGAAACUGGGAAAAUGUCAUUUCCUGAUCUCUAAUACUUUUGUUUCAAUUAUGAAAAAUUGAGACCCCACGACGCAGAGUGAUGUGCUCGGGAUAGAGGACACAGGUCUCUGACCUCUCGAAGACACAUUCCCUUUCUCCUGGUCCAUGAGAGCUCCCUGCCCUGCAUCACCUCCUUUUCCCCCCAUUAAAUGUUUGUGUCAGGAGCGAUACUAGCAUCAGGGCUGUGAGUUCAUUUUUCACUCUGGAAUUCCUUGGAAAGCUUUUUUUUUUUUUUUAUUUCCAUUGCCCUGAAGGAAGGCAUUCAUGAAGCAUGUGGCAUGCAGUUCAAAGAAAGGGGCAGAAUUAAAGUACAGCCACUCACCUCCUGGAUUCCCUCCCCCGCCCUGACCAACCAUUUCUCAUCUUGUCUUACAGCUCAAACCAAAUAUGAGUCCACAUGAAAGAAGAAAUCUUUGCUAGUGUUUUUUAA
rnacentral:lncRNA from 9 species